rnacentral:rRNA from 1 species
ACACGCAUGACACACUGCAUAUCAAUAAGCGGAGGAAAAGAAACUAACAAGGAUUCCCUUAGUAACGGCGAGUGAAGCGGGAAGAGCUCAAAUUUGAAAUCUUCAAGGUUUUACCUUGACGAAUUGUAGUUUAAAGAAGUGUUUUCUGUUGGAGUUUUGGUAAAAGUUCUUUGGAAUAGGACAUCAUAGAGGGUGAGAAUCCCGUAUUUGACCAUUAUUUCCAGCUUUGUGAUACACUUUCAAAGAGUCGGAUUGUUUGGGAAUGUAGUCCAAAAUGGGUGGUAAAUUUCAUCUAAAGCUAAAUAUUGGCGAGAGACCGAUAGCGAACAAGUACCGUGAGGGAAAGAUGAAAAGAACUUUGAAAAGAGAGUUAAACAGUACGUGAAAUUGUCAAAAGGGAAGCGUUUGACACCAGUGUUGUUUUCUCGAAAAUCAAUUCAUGAUGGCUUGAUGCUAGGUUGUUAAGACUUUAUCAGCUUACUGUCUAGUUUUCUUAUGAUACUUUGCUGAAUGCACUUUUCGUUAACAAGUCAACAUCAAUUUCUUUUGUUGUAAAAGGGUAUAGAGGAAGGUGGCUUCAGCUUUCGGUAGAAGUGUUUAUAGCCUUGUACCUCUGCAGUCGGAGAGAUUGAGGUCUGCAGCGUAGAUCCUUCGGGGUUAGAUACAUUUGUGCUAAGUUAUAGCUUUUCAUAGACAACUUGUUGACUAUGUUUAGUCUUGUAGCUUACUCGCUUAUGCUAUUUUACCUACGCUUAGGAUGUUGAUCUACAGAGCGAGAGU